AUACUUACCUGGCAGGGGAGACACCAUGAUCAUGAAGGUGGUUCACCCAGGGCGAGGCUCAGCCAUUGCACUCCGGUUGUGCUGACCCCUGCGAAUUCCCCAAAUGUGGGAAUCUCGACUGCAUAAUUUCUGGUAGUGGGGGACUGCGUUCGCGCUCUCCCCUG
ensembl:snRNA U1 U1 spliceosomal RNA